ACGUGGCUGGCUCAGUUGGUAGAGCAUGAGACUCUUGAUCUCAGGGUUGUGAGUUCAAGCCCAUGUUGAGAG
rnacentral:tRNA from 1 species